rnacentral:rRNA from 1 species
GAUGAACGCUAGCGGCAGGCCUAAUACAUGCAAGUCGAGGGGUAAGGCUCUUUCGGGAGUACACGACCGGCGCACGGGUGCGUAACGCGUAUGCAACCUACCUUUAACAGUGGGAUAGCCCCGAGAAAUCGGGAUUAAUACCGCAUAACAAUGCGAGCUGGCAUCAGUUUGCAUUUAAAACUCCGGUGGUUAAAGAUGGGCAUGCGUGACAUUAGCUAGUUGGUAAGGUAACGGCUUACCAAGGCUACGAUGUCUAGGGGUUCUGAGAGGAUGAUCCCCCACACUGGUACUGAGACACGGACCAGACUCCUACGGGUGGCAG